AUUGAACGCUGGCGGCACGCCUAACACAUGCAAGUCGAGCGGCAGCGAGACUAGUAGCAAUACUAGUUGUCGGCGAGCGGCGGACGGGUGAGUAACACGUAGGAAUCCGCCCUUAAGCGGGGGAUAACCAAGGGAAACUUUGGCUAAUGCCGCAUAAUCUCGAGAGAGCAAAGCCGCCCGCAAGGGUGGCACUUGAGGAGGAGCCUGCGUCCGAUUAGCUAGUUGGUGGGGUAAUGGCCUACCAAGGCGAUGAUCGGUAACUGGUCUGAGAGGACGACCAGUCACAAUGGGACUGGGACACGGCCCAGACUCCUACGGGAGGCAGCAGUGGGGAAUAUUGGAAAAUGGGGGCAACCCUGAUCCAGCGAUGCCGCGUGAGUGAAGAAGGCCUUCGGGUCGUAAAGCUCUUUAGGUUGGGAAGAAGGGUAUUGGCUGAAUAAUCCAGUACUUUGACGGUACCGACAGAAUAAGCACCGGCAAACUCUGUGCCAGCAGCCGCCGCUGUAA
rnacentral:rRNA from 1 species